CGCCCAAUCAGACCGCCAUGAUGCCCCAAACUGCUGUACGUGUCUAUGAUGCCGAAAAAUGCCGUACAGGAAGGCAGCAUACUAGGGUUUGAGAAACAGCCCUACUCACGCUGCGUCGGAAGGAUUAGUCGAGUCUACUAAAAACUGAAAGUUAACACGAAACCGCAAUUGAUUAUCGUGAGCACGGUAGAGCACCUGCAUAACGCUUUCCCGCCUGAACAUCUCUGAGCGCUGUUAAUCAUUAUAAAGUUGUCAAGAAGUCGAGAUCUGAGGAACGUGCAGUGUUAGAACGAUCUGAUAUCUGAGCAGAAGCACUGGACCCUUCAACACGGGAUUUUGGAGUUUGAUGACCGUUUGAAACGUUCAAACUUUACAAAGAAGAGAAUAGGGAGGAAUGUGAUUGACCAGCAUGCAACAGUCGAUGAUCAUGGACAAUGGGGAGGCUACACCAAUUUCAAUGAAUGGUGUUGUGAGAGACAGUGCUGAUACAGAAAGGACCCUACAUUUUUAAAACCGCCUCAAUGAAAUCCUCUUUCCACAAGAUGACCAGGAGAAAGAUUAGCAAAAUUUUGUAGUUGUUGGGACAAUGUCCCAUUUCAUCAUUUAGCGCUGGUGCUUUCAGGGUGACCAUACUCUCCUUUCCUGAAACCAUUUGAGAAGUUCUUCUCUUGGAGGCGGAAAAUGUUUGAUCGCAACCUUACAACCAAGUCUUCAAGCAAUGGAAGAUGCCUGUGAAAUGUUUAGGCAGAGUCUUGGAUCAAGCAUGGAUUCAACAUUUUACAGUUUUUUUCCCCACAAUGCAUGGCUUGCAAGAAUAUAUUCUGUGAGGUAGAUGAAAUUCUCUGGUAUGAUGUAAAUAAUAGCUGUGAUCAAUAAA